AUGAAGACAGAAGAUGUCAGCCAUACCCAUCCUGCGGACUUCUGAUUAUUAUCCAAACAACAGCCAGUUUGAAUUUGGUCUCUGUUUUUCCACUAAUUUAGCCAAGUCACUCUCAUUGUGAAAAGGAUCCGCUCGACUGGAGCAGAGGCUGAGUUGCACUGGUGGGGUGGUAUGUUAUAUGGAAGCCUUUCAAGCUAUGAAGACAGUGAUAGAAAAAUGUAUUUUGAGAACUGGAGGUAUUUUAUUGCUAACAUCUGGGGAAGAGAUGUUUUUUGAUCCCGUAAAGCAUGCAGUGUGCAAUCACAGAAGCCCAGCUGAGGUAGUGCACUUCAGGAAGAAUGCCACUGCUUUAAUUGCAAUAAUAAAACUU